UUGGCAUGGUUUUUAGAAGGACUCAGGAGCCUGAGCUGGGGAAGGAAGGGAGGGUGAGCCCAGCUCAUGUCCACAGGACACAUGUCAGCAGAAAAUACACACCUAGUCAGAGGAAUGCACUUUCACAUUCUACACACACAUAUGCACAUGAACCCUCAUGAUGUUCAAAGCUGUCUCCUCACCAUUAUCCCAUUUAGGACUCCAAUCAGGGCUGCCUCCUAUGGUUGCUCAUGCCGUGCACUGCACAAUUGUAAGAGCCGCCAGUCACAUGGACUGUGAUGUGAGCAGCACCCCCUGGAGUAGCCUAACACAGUGGCCCUGUUCACAGUAACCUGGGAGGGAGCCAAGGAGACUUGGCCCAUUUUGUAGCUAGUAGAAACUGAAGCUCAGAGACAGCCAGUGACUUACCCAUGGGUCAAAGAAUGAGUCAGUGGUUGGAACAAAUUCUAUGUCAUCCUUUGUCUCCCUCCCCCAGGCAUUUCACAAAGAAUUCCUCUUUCUUUCUAAAACUUUGAUUUACUUUCAAAAACAAAUCAUUUUGAACUUCUAUCUAUUUUUGAAGAGGAGCCAUACUCAUGUGAUACAGAAUUGUAAGGGUACGAAAGGAUAUAAAGAGAAAGCUGUUCCCCAUCCACCCCGACCCCCAAACAGCCCCUGCUGCUGUCCUGUGCCCCCUUCUAGAGACAGUCUGUACACCUGUCACACCAGAGGGCGCGUACAGUGCCUGCACACCUUGCUGUUUUCACAUUACGUGUCCUGCAGUGUAUCAGAACAUUUCAGGCUAUGGGAUUCUUCGUUUUACCCGUGAACAAAAUUCCAUCAAGUGGAGGCCUUAAUUGCUGCCUAAGCAGGACCCACUGGUGUUCAUUCACAUAGGGCGUUUCCAAUCUCUCCUGCAAGCAAAGGAUUGCCAGAUACUCCCCCUCCUCGAGCACAGAGUAUCAUUUCGUAAAUCUGAAAACACACCUCAAGGAUACAUUCUUCAUUUCUUUAAAAUCAAAAUGUUUCAUUUUUGAAACAAACAUAAAACACCAUGAAAGGGCAUAUCAGAAAAUAUAAGAGGAGAUCCAUAUCGCUCACCCCUACUUCCUAGAAGUGACCAAUAAUUCAUAUUAUUUCAUGUCUUGCACCUGUGGCUUAAUAUAUAUGAUUGGUUGCAAAACCAGCCACAACACUUCACACCUCUUUGGGUGCACUGUCCCUUGUGACUUUGUAGCUCGUCCCACUAAGAGUCAGAGUCUGUUUCUCCCUACAUUAAAUCUGAGCUUGGCCCUAUUCCUGGCUUUGGCCAUUAGAAUGUGGAAGUGAUGGUGUGCCAGUUCCAGGCCUAGGUCUCAAGAAGCUUUACAUGCUUCUGCUAACUCUUUUGGAACCUUGCUGCCCCAUGGGAAUAAACCAUGGCUAGCCUGCUGGAAGAUGAGAGAUACAUGGAACAGGGGAGACUCAUCCCAGUUGCCCCAGUCAAAGUUCCAGAGAGCAGCUCCUUGAAAUCUAAUCUGAUGUCCCAACUCCAACCCUUACCCCCUACCCCAUGCCAGCUUCCCCAGCAAAAUCAGAGCCCUCCAUCCAACCAGAGGCAGAGUAUAGCGACCUAGGUAUCUCUACAGAGGUGGGAGGUGGGGGGUGGGCAAGGCUUGGAGGAAGCCAUAUGCAUGCUCAUUUUGUAUGCCAGAGAGCAGAGGUCUUCCAAAUGUGUCUUUGGGAGAAAAAUUGUAAAAUGGUCACCAAAGACUGUCCCUCUUACCUCCUGCCUGUUCUAGUUGGUCUUUCAUUCACUCAACACACUUUUGUUGAGCACCCACUACAUACCAGGUCUAGGUGUCAGGGAUAUAGCCAUGAGCAACACUGACAUUCUCUGCAAGUUACAUGCUAAAUGGAUGAGACAGACAAUAUGCAUUUAAGCUCAUGAUUAUAUGUCAGUAAGUAAUAAGUGUUCAGAAAGAAAUAAAGCAGGGUAAAGAGACAGCAGUGAUGGGAUAGCCAAGGAAUGCCCAUCAGGGAAGGGAUGUGUGAACAGACACUGGAACAAUAACAAGGAGUGAGCCCGGCAGACAUUCUAGGCCAAGGGUGUAACAGCGUGUGCAAAGGCCUGGAGGUCCCUUUGUUCCUAAGAUCCUGAGCUCAAGGUUGGAGUGAGUGUGCAGAAAUGCUGGAGGAACAGCCAGGAGGCAGGUGUGGCUGGAGCAGAGUUAGCAUGGGGUGUGGGGAGUGGGGAACAAGGAUAGAGGUGUCUCCUGUCACUCCACUCCCUCUUCCAAUCCUCAACACCCCCCCUCCCACCAUCUGCAAACUGACCUCUCCAUCCUUUUUCCUCUUGUCCAAGGCUGAUCCCUCCCCCCAAGCUCUGGAUCCCAUUUAGCCCUUUAUGCCUCCUCAGAUGCCUCCUGCCUCCCUCCAGCCUGAGAUUCUUAGCACACAUCAUUCCCUCUCCCUCCAAGUCCUCCCCACCCCUUUUCGCCUAGCUGUGCAUCUUUUCAGGUCCAGGCAGGCCUCACAUUUCCUGAAGGCUUCUCUGGUGCCCCAGGCUGGGUUGGAGGCCCUGUGGGCUCCCUCACUUGCCUGAGCUUCCACCCUGUGGAUCUGACUCACUGGCAAGGUCAUGAGCUCCCAGGGCCUAGCAAAUGUCUGAUUCCCCUUUGCAUCCCCAGGCCUGAGCUCUGGGUUUGGCCAGGUAUGCAGAUGUCAUUCCUAUGGCUUCAGGCUAAGACAUCUGGCUCCCCAGAUGUGUCUUCUGCACCAUCUCCCCUGCUUGUCCCUGUAGCCUGGGACAGUUGAGUCUCCGCCACCAAGACCUAUUUGCUGCUCACUAAGCCGAUCUGGUGUUUCCUGUCCACCCCCACCAUAAUAAGCCACUCCCAUUCCUGUCUCCUUAGCCCAAAUCUCCUCCAUCAAAACCAGCUGGAGCCUGUUUUGAUUGGAGCAGCACAAAGCACACGAGAAACAGCUAGACAGGUACGUUGUAUGAUGUCUGCCUGGCCCUCAGCUUCCUCACCCAUUGGCUGGGGAUGCAGUGGUACCCAAAGCAUAGGGCAGGGGUGGGGAGUGGAUGGUGUGUGCUUACCCUGUCUAUUCCCCUUGGCCCUGGAAUCCCUGAGGUGCUAGAGUUAUCUCUGUAACCCCCCUCAGUGUCCAGAAUAUAACAGCUUCUCAGCAAAUAUAUACGAAAUAUAUAAAGAUGCCAUACUUUAUGGUUUCCAUUGCACAAACAUUAUUGUGUUCUGUCCUCGCAGCAAUUCUUACCAGCAUCCCGUCAUUUCAUAUGAGCACACUGUGGCUCCUGAGCCAGGAAGACGGAGUCAGGAGGGCCUUGGCCAUCAGCUUUGGCAAGACUCCUACCAGACAUUCAGAGAGGUUGUGGGAUCCGCCCAAGGCCAGCCCUUGAAUCCUGAUCCUUAGAUUCCAGAUCCUAAGCUCAAAACCCUUGCACAUUCUUAAGUCCUCCCUAUGACACUCUGAAGUGAGCAAUGAUAUCACGCCCAUUUUAUAGCCCAGAAAACUGAGGCCCAGCUUGUGAAUGACAGAGGCAGAACUUGACCCCAAGUCUGGGGACUAUCUCUGUGUUCCUCACACAUCUCCAUACGUAAGCCGAUUGAUAAUAAGGAGAGAUGUUUUCUUUCCCUCUCUUUUGGCCUUUUUCCUAUUUUUGAGGAUUUAGGGUAGCAGCUGUCCUGGAAAAAACAGGACAUGCAGUGCCCAGCCAGGCACCGGCUGGCUGGAGGUGGGAGGCAGGAGCUGUGAAUUAAUUGGUCAGCCCCUUUGAGUUGGGAGCAAGCCUCUGAGUGCAUCUCCAUUGUUUUGCGGCUUAGAGACCUGGGGAGGUGGAGUGCCUCACCUCCCAGCGGCCACACGUUGACCUUGGAGCUGGGGUGUAACUUCAGGCACUGUUGACGAAUGGAAAGUAGCUGGAGUCCUGGGGCGGGGAUACUGCCCUGUUUGUGUUUUGUCAUCUGUCUUUGGUGUCCCAGGCUUUAGGGCUGGGUUAGGACUGUAAAAGCAGGGAUGGUCUUAACGUUUGGUUAUUUCUUGGCAUGAAGAGGUAGGAUGUGGGCAUCCUGCAGCAUUUAGCUGACAUCCAUAUCCAAUGGUAAAAUCAUGUCUCCUGCCUGGGACUGCUACACGGACAUGCAAUUAGUACCUGGCAACACACACACGCACACACACAAGGGUCUGCGGAGCCCCAAAGCUGAGGAAAUCCUGCAGGUUUUGAAGCAUUUAGUCAACACCUACUGUAUACCAGGCACGCACUGACCACAACACUGGCUAGGGGUGCUGCGGAUGACCUUGGUGCACCCUUAGCCUCCUGAAGCCUUGGUUGCCUCAGCUGGAAGGAGGAGAUAAUGAUAAUACUGGCCUCAUGAUCCUGUAGACAAUGAGGGGGAUAAACACCACAGCCUCGAGAGGGUCCAUCCCAGCUGCCAAAGUACUGGUCAGGAACUGAAGCACAAACGGCUCUGUGAAAAUUAAAUAAUUUGGCUCCUCCAAAUCUUAGGAGAUUUUUUUUUAUCAAUUUCAUGUCAUGGACUGGAUGGAAUUGGAACUAAAAUCCACAUGACUUUUGAAUGAAAUACACAUGGGAAAGAGAGAAGAAGAAAACUCAUGCUGACUACUCAUAAUAGCCAAGAUAGGGAAACAGCCUAGGUGUCCAGCAUCGAUAAAUGAAUGGAUAAAGAAGAUGUGGUGUUCACGUACAACGGAAUAGUAUUCAGCCAUGAGGAAGAAGGCAAGCCUGCCAUUUGCUGUGGCUUGGAUGAAACUUGAGAGCAUGAUGCUAAGCGAGGUAACUCAGAGAAAAACAAAUACUAUAUGGUCUCACCUGUAGGCGGAAUCUGAAAAAGUCAAACUCAGAGAAACGGAGUAGAGUCGUGGUCGCCAGGCAUCAGGAGUGUGGAAAAUGGGGAGCUCUUGGUCAAAGGUAGGGCGCCUUGUCUUCUGUUGAAAUCCUUGCCUCCCGAAGGCCAUAAAGACUGCCUUGAAUGCUCUACACUGCAGUCUAUCAUCCACCUUGGAUCAUGUCUAUGCAUGGAGCAUCAAGUCAAGGUUUGCGAUUUUCCAUAUGAUGUCCAGUCAUUCCAGCAUGAUGUGUUGAAAGUCAUUCCUUUCCCCCACUGAACUGCUGUGGUGCUUUGGAAUAUGGAACACUGCAUAGCAACAAACACAAGAAGCUGCUGCCUCCUAUGACAGCAUGGGUAAAGUCUGUAGAUUUUACGGUAAACGAGAGAAGCCAGACACAAAGGAAUGUGCAGCACGAUUCCAUUUAUAGGAUGUUCCAAAGAGGCCUCUGCAGUGACAGGGUGAUAGUGGAUGCCUUGGGGUGGGGUGUCACCUGGGAGGGGGCACAAGGGAUCCUUCUGGGGUGUGGAAGUGUUCUUUAUCUCCACCUUGGGUGGUGCUCCACAGGUGUCUGCAAAUGAAAACAAAAAUCGAUGAGCUGUACCAUUAGGAACAUUCUUUUAAAUUAGUGUGCAAACAGCCACUGUUUGUAUGCUAUAUGCUGA